ACCCUGUGACAAAAUAGAAGUUAGCUGAUCACUUGAGUUAAAUUUGACAAUAUGUUCGUCAAUUAAGUUGACACUACAAAGAUUAAGACAAAAUUAGCAAGAGUUAAUAACCUCAUUGGCCAUGUGAGGAAGGUGCCAUUGCCGUGGAGAUGGAUGUCGAGGCUACGGUUGGGGACGAGCUCGUAAACAAGAAGGAGCUCGUCGUGGCCAUGGCACCAGCCGAUGAGCUGCACGAGAUUGCGGUGGCGCAGACGGCUUAUGACCUUGAUCUCUGACUUGUACUCCCUCCUCCCUUGGUUGGAGGAAUCUUUGAUGAACCUCUUAAUGGCGACGGCGAGGCCCUGCUCUCUUAGAUAGCCCCGGUACACUGCGCCGAAUCCGCCCUGGCCAAGCUUCUCCUCCGCCGCGAAGCUCUUGGUUGCGUUGACGAGCACAUGGUACGCGAACCGCCUCGGCCCCGUCCCGUUCUCGAUCUCCAUGAUGGGAUCGCCUUCCGUGUCAUCGUCGUCGUCGUUCGCCUCCUCCGCCUCCCUCAUCUUCUUCCUCUGAUGUCGUCGUCGUACGAGUACGACGACUGCUACCAUGGCCAAGAGGAGCACGACGAACAGUGCUGCGCCGACGGUGGCUCCCGCUACAACCCCGCCACUUCCUGAACCGGAGGUAGGCGGUGGUGACGGUGACGGCGGCGCCACCGGUGGCGGUGCGGCCUUGGGUUCCAGCGACGAGCUGAAGUACCAUGAACGCAGCUGAUGCAGCUCGACGGAUGUGGACGUCGCGGCGGAGAAGCCGACGGCGACCUGCUCCGGCAACACGCUCUUGAGGUCAACCUUGUAGCUAAGGUUGUAAUCCGGCCGGUGACGGGGGCCACUAAGCCCAUAGCCGAGGUGCAGCCUCAUGGCCAGGAUGCUGGAGACGUUGUCGUACUCGACGACGGCGGUCAUGUUCCCGACGAGGGUGAAGCUGGGCAAGGUCAAGGUCGUCUUGGACACGACGGAGUUGACGUCGACGCCGAGGUGGUCGUAGGUGGCGUCGGGGUCGUGCACGAUGGUGUCGUUGAAGGUGUCGAACUCCACGGCGACGAACCGGUCGUCGCCGGCGGCCACCUGGUCGGCGGUCUGGUUGGUGAGGCCGAGGUUGUAGGGGUAGGAGCCGGGGAGCCUCGACGGGAAGCCGGCGAGGAAGAAGGCCAUGCCGGCGCCCUUGUUGUCGAUGCCGCCGUCCUGUUUGGGCGGGUUGAUGACGAAGGAGAAGCCGGUGGUGAAGCUGGCAACCUCGCCGGUGGCGGCGUCCCAGAGAGGGACCGGAAGGGCGUACGACACCCUGCCACGGCUGUCUUCGAUGCUGCCGUGCCUGUUGGCGCUGAUGUCGACCCACCCGCCGCCGUCGCCGCUGAAGGAGAAGUCGGCGCUGAAGGCGGCGUCGCCUUCCAGCCUGAUGUUCGUCUGCUCGUCCGGGCCGAAGUUGGUGUGGUUGAAGGUCAAGGCCAAGGCGACUGGAGCCGGCGAGUAGAGAUCGUCGCAGAAGACGGAGAAGAAGAAGAUGAGGCCGACAAUAUUGUACCUCGUGGUGGUCGUCGACGAUGUGAUCUGCAAAACGCCGGCCAUCGAUGGCCGCCGUGUUGUGUUCCCUCCCCGUUGAUUGAUCGAGUCAAUGCGUACACUGUUUGCAGUGGCAGUAGUGUGGAGACAUGAUGAUGAAUUUUAGAAGAAAGGUAAGGGUGGCCCAUCAGGAAAGCACAUGGAUACUUCCUUUUCCUUCUUCGUUCCACACGUGCGACAGCCUGUGAAUAACUAACAACUGGACGAACGAGUAUGCGAAACUGUAUAAGGGAACAUGGUUAACGAUUCGGUUGCGCAGGAGAAAAAAAAAAGAAAAAGGAGAAAAAAAAUUCCAUGUCAUCGUCUAUGUGGCGUGUCACAUAGGCAAGAGCACGGUCAAACGCGGCUUUGGACCGAGAUGAUACUCUAAACCAAGUUUAGAGAUCUCGAUGUGCACUUAGCAAGUUCGUAAACCUGAGUAAAAUUUGACAAUAUGUUCGCCAAUUAAGUUGACACUACAAAGAUUAAGACAAAAUUAGCAAGAGUUAAUAACCUCAUUGGCCAUGUGAGGAAGGUGCCAUUGCCGUGGAGAUGGAUGUCGAGGCUACGGUUGGGGACGAGCUCGUAAACAAGAAGGAGCUCGUCGUGGCCAUGGCACCAGCCGAUGAGCUGC
rnacentral:lncRNA from 1 species